GGGCAAAAGAGAGUUUGGCAACUUCAAAUGCACAUACAUUCUUUUAUUGCUUUGGAAAAUAUGAAUAUUUCCAUACUGGAAAAAUCAAUACUCUCUGCAACAUCUUCAUUGCCAGGGCAGACUACUAAAGAAGUAAAAGUAAAGAAGGUGCUGAAGUUACAGUGAAAGACUAAUUCAAGGUAGAACACUCGAAGCCAAGACAUCCUCUAAGCUACAACAUAUUCUACAAAUUAUUUGUGGAGAAGUGGGUAUAAUGUCUCCUAAUAACUCAUCCUUCUUCAAAAUUGGCUACAGUGUUUAAAACAUAUUUAACCUCACUGGAUUUUCUAUUAAACUGUGUGAUCAUCUGUGUUUUCCAGGUUACAUUUUGCUAUUUGUUUUCUUUUAAAUAUACCCUGUCUAUCAUA